GCCAGCAUGGCCUAGUGAUUCAAGUAUUGGACUAUGAUUCUGGAGACCAGGGUUUGAUUCCCAGUUCAGCCA